rnacentral:rRNA from 1 species
UACGGGGGGAGCAAGCGUUGUUCGGAUUUACUGGGCGUAAAGGGCGCGUAGGCGGCCUGUUAAGUCGAACGUGAAAUCCCUGGGCUCAACCCAGGAACUGCGUCCGAUACUGGCAGGCUUGAAUUCGGGAGAGGGAUGCGGAAUUCCAGGUGUAGCGGUGAAAUGCGUAGAUAUCUGGAGGAACACCGGUGGCGAAGGCGGCAUCCUGGACCGAUAUUGACGCUGAGGCGCGAAAGCCAGGGGAGCAAACGGG